rnacentral:rRNA from 2 species
CGGUGAAUACGUUCCCGGGCCUUGUACACACCGCCCGUCACACCAUGGGAGUUGGUUUUACCCGAAGGCGCUGUGCUAACCGCAAGGAGGCAGGCGACCACGGUAGGGUCAGCGACUGGGGUGAAGUCGUAACAAGGUAGCCGUAGGGGAACCUGCGGCUGGAUCACCUCCUU